GACGAACGCUGGCGGCGUGCCUAAUACAUGCAAGUAGAACGCACAGUUUAUACCGUAGCUUGCUACACCAUACACUGUGAGUUGCGAACGGGUGAGUAACGCGUAGGUAACCUGCCUGGUAGCGGGGGAUAACUAUUGGAAACGAUAGCUAAUACCGCAUAAUAUUGAUUAUUGCAUGAUAAUUGAUUGAAAGAUGCUAUUGCAUCUCUACCAGAUGGACCUGCGUUGUAUUAGCUAGUAGGUGAGGUAACGGCUCACCUAGGCGACGAUACAUAGCCGACCUGAGAGGGUGAUCGGCCACACUGGGACUGAGACACGGCCCAGACUCCUACGGGAGGCAGCAGUAGGGAAUCUUCGGCAAUGGACGAAAGUCUGACCGAGCAACGCCGCGUGAGUGAAGAAGGUUUUCGGAUCGUAAAGCUCGGUUGUAAGAGAAGAACGGGUGUGAGAGUGGAAAGUUCACACUGUGACGGUAGCUUACCAGAAAGGGACGGCUAACUACGUG
rnacentral:rRNA from 1 species